CAGCCGCCGCGGGAAUACGUAGGGUGCGAGCGUUAAUCGGAAUUACUGGGCGUAAAGCGUGCGCAGGCGGUUGUGUAAGACAGGUGUGAAAUCCCCGGGCUUAACCUGGGAACUGCGCUUGUGACUGCACAGCUAGAGUAUGGCAGAGGGGGGUGGAAUUCCACGUGUAGCAGUGAAAUGCGUAGAGAUGUGGAGGAACACCGAUGGCGAAGGCAGCCCCCUGGGCCAAUACUGACGCUCAUGCACGAAAGCGUGGGGAGCAAACAGGAUUAGAUACCCGCGUAGUCCCUGUCUCUUAUAC
rnacentral:rRNA from 1 species